rnacentral:rRNA from 1 species
UACGUAGGGGGCUAGCGUUGUCCGGAAUCAUUGGGCGUAAAGAGCUCGUAGGCGGUCUGUUGCGUCGGCUGUGAAAACCCGGGGCUCAACCCCGGGCCUGCAGCCGAUACGGGCAGACUAGAGUUCGGCAGGGGAGACUGGAAUUCCUGGUGUAGCGGUGAAAUGCGCAGAUAUCAGGAGGAACACCGGUGGCGAAGGCGGGUCUCUGGGCCGAUACUGACGCUGAGGAGCGAAAGCGUGGGGAGCGAACAGG